CUCCUCUUAGGCUUGCACCGGAGAGUUUCCAGUACUCUACCAGUCUCGACUGUGGGAGGGAGAAUCAAGCAGAGGCAUAUCCAUUCCAUUCCUAGCCUGGGAAGUGGCUAGUGAAUGGAAGGCAAACUGCUACAAGU